rnacentral:rRNA from 1 species
GACGAACGCUGGCGGCGUGCUUAACACAUGCAAGUCGAACGAGACGAUUGAAAGCUUGCUUUCGAAAGUCGAGUGGCAAACGGGUGAGUAACGCGUAGACAACCUGCCUUUGAGAUGGGGACAACAGUUCGAAAGGACUGCUAAUACCGAAUGUUGUAUAUUUUCCACAUGGAAGAUAUAUUAAAGAUGGCCUCUAUUUAUAAGCUAUCGCUCAAAGAUGGGACUGGGUCUGAUUAGCUAGUUGGUGGGGUAACGGCCUACCAAGGCGACUAUAAGUAGCCGGUCUGAGAGAAUGAACGGCCACAUUGGAACUGAGAGACGGCCCCGACUCCUACGGGAGGCAGCAGUGGGGAAUCUUCCACAAUGGACGAAAGUCUGAUGGAGCAACGCCGCGUGAGUGAAGAAGGGUUUCGGCUCGUAAAGCUCUGUUGUCGGGGACGAAUGUGCAGUAUUUGAAUAAAGUACUGCAAUGACGGUACCUGACGAGGAAGCCACGGCUAACUACGUGCCAGCCGCCGCAGUAA